rnacentral:rRNA from 1 species
GACGAACGCUGGCGGCGUGCUUAACACAUGCAAGUCGAACGGAAAGGCCCUGCUUUUGUGGGGUGCUCGAGUGGCGAACGGGUGAGUAACACGUGAGUAACCUGCCCUUGACUUUGGGAUAACUUCAGGAAACUGGGGCUAAUACCGGAUAGGAGCUCCUGCUGCAUGGUGGGGGUUGGAAAGUUUCGGCGGUUGGGGAUGGACUCGCGGCUUAUCAGCUUGUUGGUGGGGUAGUGGCUUACCAAGGCUUUGACGGGUAGCCGGCCUGAGGGGGUGACCGGCCACAUUGGGACUGAGAUACGGCCCAGACUCCUACGGGAGGCAGCAGUGGGGAAUAUUGCACAAUGGGCGGAAGCCUGAUGCAGCAACGCCGCGUGCGGGAUGACGGCCUUCGGGUUGUAAACCGCUUUCGCCUGUGACGAAGCGUGAGUGACGGUAAUGGGUAAAGAAGCACCGGCUAACUACGUGCCAGCAGCCACGGUGAUACGUAGGGUGCGAGCGUUGUCCGGAUUUAUUGGGCGUAAAGGGCUCGUAGGUGGUUGAUCGCGUCGGAAGUGUAAUCUUGGGGCUUAACCCUGAGCGUGCUUUCGAUACGGGUUGACUUGAGGAAGGUAGGGGAGAAUGGAAUUCCUGGUGGAGCGGUGGAAUGCGCAGAUAUCAGGAGGAACACCAGUGGCGAAGGCGGUUCUCUGGGCCUUUCCUGACGCUGAGGAGCGAAAGCGUGGGGAGCGAACAGGCUUAGAUACCCUGGUAGUCCACGCUGUAAACGGUGGGUACUAGGUGUGGGGUCCAUUCCACGGGUUCCGUGCCGUAGCUAACGCUUUAAGUACCCCGCCUGGGGAGUACGGCCGCAAGGCUAAAACUCAAAGGAAUUGACGGGGCCUCGCACAAGCGGCGGAGCAUGCGGAUUAAUUCGAUGCAACGCGUAGAACCUUACCUGGGUUUGACAUGGAUCGGGAGCGCUCAGAGAUGGGUGUGCCUCUUUUGGGGUCGGUUCACAGGUGGUGCAUGGCUGUCGUCAGUUCGUGUCGUGAGAUGUUGGGUUAAGUCCCGCAACGAGCGCAACCCUUGUUCACUGUUGCCAGCACGUUAUGGUGGGGACUCAGUGGAGACCGCCGGGGUCAACUCGGAGGAAGGUGGGGAUGACGUCAAGUCAUCAUGCCCCUUAUGUCCAGGGCUUCACGCAUGCUACAAUGGCUGGUACAGAGAGUGGCGAGCCUGUGAGGGUGAGCGAAUCUCGGAAAGCCGGUCUCAGUUCGGAUUGGGGUCUGCAACUCGACCUCAUGAAGUCGGAGUCGCUAGUAAUCGCAGAUCAGCAACGCUGCGGUGAAUACGUUCCCGGGGCU